CAAAUACCUAGAGGCAAGGCACCAGUUUGUGGAUUCCUGCCUGCCAUCACCCCUGUCUCAGCAUGUCCCAGCCCUCCAGUGCUCAGGAUGAACAUUAAGUUCCUGGACAUAGCUAAAGUAGAGAGAAAGUCUGGCUUAUAGUACAAUCCUGUUUGUUUACUUCAAAGGAAAUCCCACUCAGUUCAAUGAAGGAAUGUUAGCUUCAGGGAGAUGACUGCAUCAAGAUGUUAACUGGCUAAUCAGUCCUCAGAUCUAGCAAGCUCAUCAGUUCACUAAAGAGUGAAAGAGUGAAACAAAGAUCCAGCAAGUGCAGUCUACAUGUGGUCUGCCUUCAAGUCAUUUCUUAGGUGAUUCUAAG